rnacentral:rRNA from 1 species
GACGAACGCUGGCGGCGUGCUUAACACAUGCAAGUCGAACGAUGAAGUUCCUUCGGGAAUGGAUUAGUGGCGAACGGGUGAGGAACACGUGAGAAACCUGCCUUUCAUUUUGGGAUAACUCCGGGAAACCGGGGCUAAAACCGAAUACUCCGUCUCGGCGGCAUCGCUGAGCCGGGAAAAAAUUUUGAUGAAAGAUGGUCUCGCGGCCUAUCAGCUAGUUGGUGAGGUAAUGGCUCACCAAGGCAACGACGGGUAGCGGGCCUGCGAGGGCGACCGGCCACACUGGGACUGGGACACGGCCCAGACUCCUACGGGAGGCAGCAGUGGGGAAUAUUGGGCAAUGGGCGCAAGCCUGACCCAGCGACGCCGCGUGAGGGAUGAAGGCCUUCGGGUUGUAAACCUCUUUCAGUAGGGAAGAAGCGAAAGUGACGGUACCUAAAGAAGAAGCACCGGCUAACUAUGUGCCAGCCGCCGCGGUAA